rnacentral:rRNA from 1 species
GACGUAGGGGGCGAGCGUUGUCCGGAUUUAUUGGGCGUAAAGAGCUCGUAGGCGGCUCAGAAAGUCGGGUGUGAAACCUCCAGGCUCAACCUGGAGACGCCACCUGAUACUGCUGUGGCUAGAGUCCGGUAGGGGAACACGGAAUACCCGGUGUAGCGGUGAAAUGCGCAGAUAUCGGGAGGAACACCUAUGGCGAAGGCAGCUCGCUGGGACGUUACUGACGCUGAGACGCGAAAGCGUGGGGAGCAAACAGG